rnacentral:rRNA from 1 species
AACGAACGCUGGCGGCAUGCCUAACACAUGCAAGUCGAACGAGACCUUCGGGUCUAGUGGCGCACGGGUGCGUAACGCGUGGGAACCUGCCCUUAGGUUCGGAAUAACUCCCCGAAAGGGGUGCUAAUACCGGAUAAUGUCUUCGGACCAAAGAUUUAUCGCCCUUGGAUGGGCCCGCGUUUGAUUAGCUAGUUGGUAGGGUAAAAGCCUACCAAGGCGACGAUCCAUAGCUGGUCUGAGAGGAUGAUCAGCCACACUGGGACUGAGACACGGCCCAGACUCCUACGGGAGGCAGCAGUGGGGAAUAUUGGACAAUGGGCGAAAGCCUGAUCCAGCAAUGCCGCGUGAGUGAUGAAGGCCUUAGGGUUGUAAAGCUCUUUUACCCGGGAUGAUAAUGACAGUACCGGGAGAAUAAGCUCCGGCUAACUCCGUG